rnacentral:rRNA from 1 species
UGAGGAAUUAUGCGCAAUGGGGGCAACCCUGACGCUGCGACGCCGCGUGGGUGAUGAAGGCCUUCGGGUCGUAAAACCCUGUCGAGAGGGGCGAAAAGCCGGUGUGCUAAUACCACUCCGGCUUGACGGUACCUCUGGAGGAAGCCCCGGCUAACUCCGUGCCAGCAGCCGCGGUAAUACGGAGGGGGCAAGCGUUGUUCGGAAUUACUGGGCGUAAAGCGCGCGUAGGCGGUCGUGCAAGUCAGAUGUGAAAGCCCUCGGCUCAACCGGGGAACUGCGUCUGAUACUGCUCGACUUGAGUCCGGUAGGGGAUGGCGGAAUUCCCGGUGUAGCGGUGGAAUGCGUAGAUAUCGGGAGGAACACCGAUGGCGAAGGCGGCCAUCUGGGCCGGAACUGACGCUGAGGCGCGAGAGCUAGGGGAGCAAACAG